rnacentral:lncRNA from 1 species
AAAAAAAAAACUUGGAGGAGAAUCCCCCAUGAUUGGUGGAUCCAAUUCACUUAUGUAGGUCCAAAAGCUUGAUACGAAAAGAUUAAGAUCAAUCUGGGUCCCAUUUUCACAAUCUCCCCAAAAGAUUAACUCCAUCUAGCAAAAAAAUAAAAUUAAAAUGAAAAACCCAUUAAUUAUUAUGCAGCCGAAUGCAAACAAAAUUUGGCGAUUGCAGUGGCGCAAAAACAAUCGGAGGCGGAUCCCGAUCGAAAGGGUCAAAAUCAAACAAGGGCUGCUUGGCUGUGGCUGCCCCCCUGGUCCCGGGUUAGAGUGGCCAAGAUUCCAUGAACCUUUGAGAGUUGCACUAGCAUGAGCUCAGAGGGGUGAGCUAGGGGUCCCCACAGACCGAGGCUGCAUUUUUAACGGAUAUUGACUAGUAGAACCCGCAAAACCGCACUUGGUGCAUUGCAUGGUGCAAUUUGGUAUUUGUUGGUUUGCUGGUCGGCUCGGCUAUCCUCCUCUUUUACGGACCCUCGAGGUUCAUAUUUUGUUUGCCAAAUAAAUUGAUAGCUGAUUAGACGCGGUC